AGCGAACGCUGGCGGCAGGCCUAACACAUGCAAGUCGAGCGCCCCGCAAGGGGAGCGGCAGACGGGAGAGUAACACGUGGGAACGUGCCCUUUGGUUCGGAACAACCCAGGGAAACUUGGGCUAAUACCGGAUAAGCCCUCACGGGGAAAGAUUUAUCGCCGAAGGAUCGGCCCGCGUCUGAUUAGCUAGUUGGUGGGGUAAUGGCCCACCAAGGCGACGAUCAGUAGCUGGUCUGAGAGGAUGAUCAGCCACACUGGGACUGAGACACGGCCCAGACUCCUACGUGAGGCAGCAGUAGGGAAUCUUGCGCAAUGGGCGAAAGCCUGACGCAGCCAUGCCGCGUGUAUGAUGAAGGUCUUAGGAUUGUAAAAUACUUUCACCGGGGAAGAUAAUGACGGUACCCGGAGAAGAAGCCCCGGCUAACUUCGUGCCAGCCGCCGCCGUAAUAC
rnacentral:rRNA from 1 species